rfam:Gossypium raimondii Chr05_contig_954, whole genome shotgun sequence.
AAACCAUGCAUCGGACAUUUCCUAAGUAAUUCCUUAAAUCUCUCCCAAGCUUCAUACAACGUCUCAUCCUCUAAUUACCGAAAAUGUGUGAUAUCAUUCCUUAACUU